rnacentral:lncRNA from 1 species
UAUACACAAAUAUAACAGUCAUACAAUGCUAGCAGUAUAAGCAAAACAUCUCCGUGUGACGGAUGUGAAAAACACUUGGACCGAUUCCCAGUGUUUUGAUAGAUCAAAACUAUAUUCGUAUGAGCCAAGUGAAUUUCGUAAGAAAAGUGCAGCGAAGACAGCAGACAAACACACACGUAAAUUAGGGAAUCGGGACGAGUGCAAAUAUCGAGCGUAUGACAUAGAGCUCAAAUUAAUCCUAAUCAAUAAAAUUCAUCGGUGGUUCUUCGAUUGAUUUGAGAUUGGUUUUUGUAGCAAUGCUAUCAUACCAGAUAAAGUAGCACGUCUUAUUUAUUAGACGUGAUUUAAUCUUACACUAUUUGCGUACAUGACACAAAACCAUACCUUUCCUCUGAUACGCUACAAAAUGCUAGAAGAUGCAGAUCACAAGGAAGACGAACAAGUACAGAACCAGAAGGAGAUGCAAAAUUUGUUACAAGGGAAUCACUUCAAUGGCACUAUCCAAUACUCCGAUAACUUUUUGGCUAACAACUAUAACAAGAUGCAAAUGCAGCUGAACAGCCGCUUCAUCUCACAGAUUUGUUGCCCACGACGAGCCCGUGGAUCAUUACCGCAUGUCCGAAUGCGUCCAUACUAUAUACCUCAACGGUCCAGAACAAAAAGCGAAAACUCAGAUCCGUCAAGUUUACUAUAUUUGGAAACGAUAAGAGCUGUCGAAAUUGCUCAAAGCAACCCACCACCAUCAACUCUGAUGGAAACUAGUGACCCUUCUACCUCACACAUGGACACAUCCGGAAAUGCACCAGUUGUUAGAACCGGAAAGUGCUCCCCACUAGUGAAAUCUAAAUCUCUCGAGAAUCUGGUACGAUCGAUUAAAACGAUAGACGGAUCACAACCGUCACACGAGAUGGAAUUCAUGUCUAGUCGCAUACAAAAUUUAAAAGUGCAAGAAUAGUUCAUCAUUUAGCAGUACUGCAUACUAUCGAUAUGUAAUCAGAAGAUAAGUGUCUACAAAAGAACACCAGUCGUACGGCGAUUACCUAAAAAAAAUAUUUUAUUAUUUUACACUACGAUUAGCAAUAGGUUGCAGGCAAACAGUUGUAGCACUUUGAAAUAAUUUCGCAAAUUGCAUAACACACUAUAAAUGCUAAUCUUUACAUAAAUAUGCCAUAUAAACGUCAUUUUAUGAAUCGAUGAAUCGCGUAUUGCAAUACUCAUAUUGUAUAUUGCAGCACCUUGAAAAGUUUAGCAUGACCUAAAGUUAAUAUUUUUCAAAUUUUUGGGUGUCAAAUCAACGUUUUUAUUAGUACGUCUUAAAAAAAUGCAUGUUUGAGCAAUUAUAAUUUUUUAUUUUAGUAAGAAAAACUUUUUUUUCACUACACUUUAAGCGAUGCUUAACAUUAAAGUGCAGCAAUACUCAUUGAGUAUGGCAACGAUCCCAUACUUUCGGUGGUACAUUAAUUGAACAAUGAUAAAUUUUUACCUGUUUUUUUGUAUUAAUCGUAACGCUUACGCAGAAUACUUAUUUCCGCUGUAAAGCUACAUAAUUUGUGAAACAUACAUGCUCAGCGUAAAAAAAUUAAUACAUCGUUUGAUUUUUUGCGCCGAACUUUAACGUUUACAUUACAUUGUAUUUGUUGAAUUAUUGUUUUCAUAAUGUAUAUCAUUAUUAAUUUAAAAUAUAGACAUUGAAAAAUAAGUCGAAUGCUACGACUGAUUGUCUGUGGCUUAGAUUUUCCCACGUGGAGCCAGAUGUUGAUUGUUCAAAUAAAAAAUUCAAACGUGGGCUAGAAUAAUGGCGUAACUCGAAUGAUCGAUUUCUCUUCAUCGAAUAAAAGUGACAAGAUGUGGAUUUAUUAGCAUUAUUUCACUUCAGACCGCUUGGCAGCGAUGCAGUCUCGUGUCUUGAGUUGAAAAAAUGCUGCGUCUUGUCACUUUUAUUCAUAUAAGAGAGGAUCGACGUAGAGAAAUCGAUCAUGCGACUUACGCCCUUAUUCUAGCACACGUUAAAUGAGGAAAGGACUUAACAACAUACUCCUGCAUGAUUGUGUAGAUAUGGAAAGUAUCAUCAUUCGUGUAGUUUGCAAGUUACUUAGAGGAUCUGGCCCUUGAUAAAUCUAGUUUAUAGAAGGUCAAAAUGCAAUGUUAUUUUAACUUAUUCUAAAUAAAUGUUCAUCAUAUACGAA